UACGUAGGGGGCAAGCGUUGUCCGGAUUUACUGGGCGUAAAGAGCGCGUAGGCGGAGAUCUAAGCGUGGCCUGAAAGCCCCCGGCUCAACCGGGGAGUGCGGCUGCGAACUGGGUUCUUGAGGACGAUAGAGGAGAGUGGAAUUCCUGGUGUAGCGGUGAAAUGCGUAGAUAUCAGGAGGAACACCCGAGGCGAAGGCGGCUCUCUGGGUCGUACCUGACGCUGAGGCGCGAAAGCGUGGGGAGCGAACAGG
rnacentral:rRNA from 1 species